rnacentral:rRNA from 1 species
CGUGAACGCUGGCGGUAGGCCUAACACAUGCAAGUCGAACGGCAGCACAGUAAGAGCUUGCUCUUACGGGUGGCGAGUGGCGGACGGGUGAGGAAUACAUCGGAAUCUACUUUUUCGUGGGGGAUAACGUAGGGAAACUUACGCUAAUACCGCAUACGACCUACGGGUGAAAGCAGGGGAUCUUCGGACCUUGCGCGAUUGAAUGAGCCGAUGUCGGAUUAGCUAGUUGGCGGGGUAAAGGCCCACCAAGGCGACGAUCCGUAGCUGGUCUGAGAGGCUGAUCAGCCACACUGGAACUGAAACACGGUCCAGACUCCUACGGGAGGCAGCAGUGGGGAAUAUUGGACAAUGGGCGCAAGCCUGAUCCAGCCAUACCGCGUGGGUGAAGAAGGCCUUCGGGUUGUAAAGCCCUUUUGUUGGGAAAGAAAAGCAGCAGGUUAAUACCCCGCUGUUCUGACGGUACCCAAAGAAUAAGCACCGGCUAACUUCGUG